UACGUAGGGGGCGAGCGUUGUCCGGAUUUAUUGGGCGUAAAGAGCGUGUAGGCGGCCAGGUAGGUCUGCUGUGAAAACUCGAGGCUCAACCUCGAGACGUCGGCGGAAACCAUCUGGCUAGAGUCCGGAAGAGGAGAGUGGAAUUCCUGGUGUAGCGGUGAAAUGCGCAGAUAUCAGGAGGAACACCGGUGGCGAAGGCGGGUCUCUGGGCAGUAACUGACGCUGAGAAGCGAAAGCGUGGGGAGCGAACAGG
rnacentral:rRNA from 1 species